AAGAGGACAAUGUUGUAGAACACUCAACUGAGACGUUAUCUGAACCUGAAGAGACAUUUACCGAAGUCCGGUUAAAUGAAGAUCCUCCUGAAGAAUCCAGUCUAUUGCCUGCUGUUCCUGUUGAGCCUUCAGUUAACAAUGACGUAGGUGACUUGACUUUUAGACGUUCAACACGGCAGAGAGCACCGCCAGAGCGAUUACAAUACUCAACUUUAGGUAAUCCUCUAAUCUCGGUAGUUCAGUCUUUGCUCCAUAGCCUGUCCAAUGCUUUAAAUAUUUCAUCUGCGUCUGACACCGUUUCGCCGGUUCAUGUCAUCUAGUGCUCUAACAUGCAACGGGACGUGCAUGGGUUUAAAGGGGGGAGGGUGUAACCCAGGUUAAAAUCCCUUGGUCCUUUUUUUUCCCAGUACCUGAACACACCACAAGACACACCCCUGUAGUCUAACCAAUCAUGAAGUUCAGGCACAUUUUAUAAGCUGAGGUGAGUUUCCCCAAUCAGUAGUGAGGGGGAAGCCACCGGAGCAGCUGCACUUGUGUCUACUGCCGUGGGGUUAGAAACCAUCCGGUUCCACGGUGUGUUGAAUAUCUGCGGGAAUUGGCCAGGUGAGCCCAGCUGUGGGUCAAUUGAUGGCGAGCUACUACCUGGAACAGAACCUGCCCCUAUACAUCCUCAUCCUGUGGGUCUGGUAGGAGGCUGCUGCAGCUUUGCUCAACCCCUCCAUUUUCCUUUACACAUCUGUCCAAUUACUAAGACUUGGAUAAUGGACUGAUUGCAUCUCUCAAAUAAUUCUCUCUAUUUAGAUGCAAUAUUUUGAGUACUCCUGAUUAUGUUUUAUUUUGUCAAAUUCUGUGAACUACGGAGUCUAUGGAACUGAAUUAUCUGACGUGCACUGUGAAAACUAACUUGUCUGCAGAUUGUAAAUAUUUUGGAUAUUGUUUGUUUGUUGUUUGUUUCACAUAAUAUAUGGUACCAACACCAAAUAUAAGCAUCUGCCUUUGUGUCAUUAUUUACUCUUUCAACACCUCCUUAAACCGAACCAUUUAUCUUCUGAUACCCCACGUAUA